rnacentral:misc_RNA from 1 species
CCGUCAAUUCAUUUAAGUUUCAACCUUGCGGUCGUACUUCCCAGGUGGAUUACUUAAUGCUUUCGCUUGGACACUGACUGUGUAUCGCCAAUGUCGAGUAAUCAUCGUUUAGGGCGUGGACUACCAGGGUAUCUAAUCCUGUUUGAUCCCCACGCUUUCGUGCCUCAGCGUCAAUGAUCGUUUAGUGAGCUGCCUUCGCAAUCGGUGUUCUACAUCAUAUCUAAGCAUUUCACCGCUACAUGAUGUAUUCCGCCCACCUCAACGAUAUUCAAGACCGAUAGUAUCAAUGGCAGUUCCAGAGUUGAGCUCUGGGAUUUCACCACUGACUUAACGGCCCGCCUACACACCCUUCAAACCCAGUGAAUCCGGAUAACGCUUGCACCCUCCGUAUUACCGCGGC